AGCGAACGCUGGCGGCAGGCUUAACACAUGCAAGUCGAACGCCCCGCAAGGGGAGUGGCGCACGGGUGAGUAACGCGUGGGAAUAUGCCCUUCGGUUCGGAAUAACACAGGGAAACUUGUGCUAAUACCGGAUACGAUCUACGGAUGAAAGAUUUAUCGCCGAGGGAGUAGCCCGCGUAGGAUUGGCUAGUUGGGGAGGUAAGGGCUCACCAAGGCGACGAUCCUUAGCUGGUCUGAGAGGAUGAUCAGCCACACUGGGACUGAGACACGGCCCAGACUCCUACGGGAGGCAGCAGUGGGGAAUAUUGGACAAUGGGCGAAAGCCUGAUCCAGCCAUGCCGCGUGAGUGAUGAAGGCCUUAGGGUUGUAAAGCUCUUUCGCCAGGGAAGAUAAUGACGGUACCUGGAAAAGAAGCCUCGGCUAACUCCGUGCCAGCCGCCGCCGUAAUAC
rnacentral:rRNA from 1 species